AUGUGCCCCAAAUUCACCUCCUUCAUUGUCCUUUGCCUCCUGGAUGCAGGCUUCCUUGAGGCAGAAGUCAGCCAGCCUCUAGGGUACCUGGUCCAAGAGAAAGGACAGAAAGUGAAAAUGUAUUGUGUUCCAAGAAAAGGACACAUUUAUGUUUACUGGUAUCGACAGAUCCUGGCCAAAGAGUUCAAGUUCUUGAUUUCCUUCCAAAACGAUAAGGUCUUGGAUGAAACAGAGAUGCCCAAGGAGAGGUUUUCAGCUGAGUGCCCCCACGACUCCCCCUGUAGCCUGGAGAUCCAGCCUGCGGAGCUGCAGGAUUCAGCCGUGUAUCUGUGUGCCAGCAGUGAUUCCACAACACCGAAGCUGCAGGAGGGCUCCAGUGUGGCCCUGGAGGGAGGCGAGAUCCAGACGCAGCCGGAUUUCGGGGUGAGAGCAGAUUCCUGGGGCAGCAGCCUAGACCCGGGGACAGUGACCGCCCAGGCUCCCAAAAGGCUGCCCUUGAAGUGA